AGCUAAUUGAUAUUAAGGAUUCAAUUCAAAACAUACUAAAAAUUUCAAUUAAACGAAUUAUUAACGAUUUGAUUAACCGCACUAUGAUCGCCAAAAUGAUAAUCACUCCUACUCUGAGCAACUAAUCACCCAUAAAAAGAAGCCCCACUAGCUACAACUAUACACCUACAGUUUGAGCAGACCUAAGCGAAAAAUAUUCUAAAAAUAAUCCAUAUAGCCAAGCAGCAUCAACAAAUGAAAUUCAGUGGGGCUUUGAUCAUUCACCACUUGACGAUCAUGGGUGCUAUCAAACACAUUUGGUGAUUUUACAUGAUUCUGUGAACCGCUUGAUGUAUACAUGGGUGGUCCAUAAAAACUAUCAAACGUAUGAGGUGAUUUUACAUGAUUCUGUGGACUACUCGAUGUACAUAGGUAACCAUAAUAUAUGGUGAUGCGAGGUCAAGGAACUCACAUUACCAAGCAGGAGCCAAACACCAAGCCCCUCAAACUAUCAAUUACUACAAAAAUUGUUUAAACCUAAAUGAAGAUGCUGACUAUUGAUUUUUUGGCUGGUUGACACAGAAAUUCUCUUCAGGCUGUCUUUGCCACAAAUAAUUUGCAGCCUCUAUCCACCGUGGAUGAACCAAAAACUUCUUGUUCUUCAGAGCCCAACGAGACUUCUCGGUCCCAGCUUCUUGGGACACCACAUGUGUAACUGAUGGGUCGAGUUCUCUGGAGCACGUGGCUCCCAAUUGCUCAGCCAUUUUCCAGAGAUGAUGGUUUUCAGCCUGAAACUGGGAAGGAAAAACUCGACUAAAGACAAUUUUACAUCCCUUCAGCACAUCCUUACGAACAGUUUUCAAAACCUGUCUCACAUCUCUGCCAUCAAGAUUAUCCACCAGCUCGUCGAAGAACAUAUGGUGAAUUUUCCUCAACACUUUAAGAACAGAUGCAAGUGCUCCAUCAGAGUCACUCUCAUCACUCUUUAGCUCUGAAAGUGAUUUACAAUUGAAGCCAAAUUGGCGACAACUUGAAGCGAAAAAAUGAUAUCUUUCCAUCAAUAUCAAAUUGUCUUUGUGCUUUGUCCAUGCAGUUUCUGUAUCAUCAAGGAUCAGAACAGCACUUUCUUGCCCCAGAACAAUAUCAAGACCUUUUUGAUUUCUUUGAGUUCCAUCAUCACGUGAAAUAACUCUAGCAUUGAAGUACUCUCUUCUAGGGUCAAGUAGCUUAGCCAUUUCCAGCGCAUAUGCUCUAUCACCCAUCGUGUAUAUGUACAUCUCAAACAUUUGACUUGCUUCCUUGAGAAAUGUGCGUACAAAGGGCCUUAACUUGGUCAUCAUGUGCAUGAAGUCCAACAUGAACAGGCUACCAUUUGAAACAUCUUGCAGAGAAUCUAUUUGACUCUUCAAAUAUUCCUCCUCUAAUGUCAUAUGCAUGAGCUGAGUAGAAUUAAGCAAUGUAUGGUCUAAAUCAAGAACCAAGUAAAGCUUUUUGUGGCAUAACAGAUUCUUCACAUCUGUGUUACGUAACCGCAUAAUUUCAUCAUUGCCAAGCCUUAAUCCCUUAUGUAUGUAUCCAAAUGUGACACCAGUUUCCUCAUUCAACUUUUGCCCACAGAGUAUACACAUGUCUCCAAAAGAUCCUGGAUGUAUGCAGGCAUCCUUACUUGAGGAUGCUCCUAAGUUCUGCUCUAGGGAUCCAUUAGACGUUGAUCGUUUAGGAUCUUCUAUGUUCUCCAAUUUCUCCACCCUAGACCUUUUUAUCCUUUGGUUUUCAGUGUCAGAAUCAUUCUCAGCUUCUUCAUUUGUCGAUGAAUCUGAAGAAUCAGAAUCAAAUUCACCCUUAGCUCCUUCUUCAUUCGGUGAUGAGUCUGAAGAUUUAGAAUCCAACUCUGCAUCAAGAAAAGCUGCAAAGUCAUCGCUACUAGACGAGUGUACAGGAGAAUCAGUCACCAGACUCAUAUAGUCAGCGAAGCGGCUGGAUCGAUUGUUGAUUAUGUCCUGCAAUUGAAAAAGAUUUUGGGAACCCUAGGUCCUAAGUCUCGACCCU
rnacentral:misc_RNA from 1 species